GGGGCUGAAAAGGUAUUUUCAUGUGCAGCCCUGAUGCUGGGAAGAAAAGCGAAACAAAGCAAAAAGUCAGCCACGCAGGGCUCAGCCUGUUUGCAGGCUCUGGAGCAAUGGGUAGGCGGGUGGGUGCUGGCCAAGGAGCUCCCCCACCAUCAGGCUGGGGAAAGCCUCCCGAGGCACUAGGUAGCGUCUGCAUCAAGGCCACCAGACUUUAGCCAGCAGGAAAACUGGCUGCUCCUUCUUUGUUGUGAACAGGAAGUUUGGGGAAGUGUCUUCCCUUUCUUUUGUUUAAAACACCUGAACUUAGAAAGGUGCCUGGGAGCAGUGGAAAGCUGGGAGUCCCUCCUCCAGUCUCUUUCCAGACUGUUCUUUCAUCAGAAACAGGAGAUACUGAAGAUGCUUAGCAGAAAGAUUAGAGGUGUCAAUGGUGAAAAGUGGAAAAGGGAUUACCCAGUGCAAUCUGGCAUCUCACCCCGUGAGGUCUUAGCACUUGUCAGCAGACCCAUGAGUAUCCACGGGGAUAACCCCACCUUAGCAGGCCACAGGAACAGCUUUCAGGGGCACGAGGUUGUCCUCACCCCCCUCACCUCUGCCAGCCCCGAGGUCUGUGCUGCUGCAGAGACGGCUAAUUCAGGGCCAGCAGUGGGCACAAGGCUUGGGACCAGCCCUGCUGGGAUCACCCGACCCGGCAGAGCAUGGGGCAGGGUGCGUGCCCCCGUCCUCUGCCAGAAACCAGCUGGAUGCAGGCAGAGGAAAUGGAUACCCCCAGCACCGCCACAACUCCAUCCUCUGGAUUCCUGAACAGGUCCCAGCUCACCAAGGAAGCUGGCAUAAUGGAAACAAAAGUGGAUUGAUGCACUGGCUGGCAUACCCGCGUCCUGGGAAAGAGCUCAGGCAGCCGUUUCCAGAAAAGCUGGAGCCUGCUGGAGGAAAGCACAAAACAGAAAACACUGCUCAAAGGAAGCUCGCAGACAGAGUGGCAAUGUGGAAGAAAUUAUAAUGAUUAAUACGGUGCCUGAAGUGUGCAGGGGACUGCAGAAGAUUGAAAAAAAGGUCCCGGAUUUGAUUUUCCACUGCUCUUCAUCAGCAGCAGUCAUUUUGUACCAGUGUAAAGUGGGAGAGUAAUCUUACCAGCACAGAACAAGUGCAUUUUACGUUGCUUUUCUCUCAAUUUUCCUGCUGCAUGGAUCCCAGGAAAAGGAGCAAUCGAGACUGCUUGUCCCUGACCACUGGGGAUCAGGGUCUGUGCUAGGAUAUAGACCAUAAACAACAGACAUAGGCAUCAGGGGAGAGGGAAGGCACUGAGAGCAGCUGCCACGUCUGUCUUUGGGUAGGACGGGAGAAGGCUUGGAAUAAGAACAAACUGGGGGCAACAUCCAUUGACCAGCUGCAGGAAAAGCACAGUUGUAGAAGAUAGAAACUCAUUUCUUCUCUUAAUUUGAUUGGAGUCAAGAGUUUUACUGUGAUCAGUCAAUCUUUUCUAAAUGUCAAAAGCAAACCCAAUUAGACCCUUAGAUAAUAAGGUUUUAAGGCUGCCGUUUAGAUUCUGCCACCUUCCUAUAUCCCUCACAGCAGGUCACCAGCAAUAAAUAAAUACAAAUAGACA
rnacentral:lncRNA from 1 species